AUAAUGGGUCAGCGACUUAUAUUCUGUAGCAAGGUUAACCGUAUAGGGGAGCCGUAGGGAAACCGAGUCUUAACUGGGCGAAUGAGUUGCAGGGUAUAGACCCGAAACCCGGUGAUCUAGCCAUGGGCAGGUUGAAGGUUGGGUAACACUAACUGGAGGACCGAACCGACUAAUGUUGAAAAAUUAGCGGAUGACUUGUGGCUGGGGGUGAAAGGCCAAUCAAACCGGGAGAUAGCUGGUUCUCCCCGAAAGCUAUUUAGGUAGCGCCUCGUGAACUCAUCUUCGGGGGUAGAGCACUGUUUCGACUAGGGGGUCAUCCCGACUUACCAACUCGAUGCAAACUACGAAUACCGAAGAAUGUUAUCACGGGAGACACACGGCGGGUGCUAACGUUCGUCGUGAAGAGGGAAACAACCCAGACCGCCAGCUAAGGUCCCAAAGUCAUAGUUAAGUGGGAAACGAAGUGGGAAGGCUCAGACAGCCAGGAUGUUGGCUUAGAAGCAGCCAUCAUUUAAAGAAAGCGUAAUAGCUCACUGGUCGAGUCGGCCUGCGCGGAAGAUGUAACGGGGCUAAACUAUGCA
rnacentral:rRNA from 1 species